rnacentral:rRNA from 1 species
GGCUUAGAGUUUGAUCAUGGCUCAGGAUGAACGCGGGCGGCGUGCCUAACACAUGCAAGUCGAGCGAAGCACUUUACUUUGAUUCUUCGGAUGAAGAGUUUUGUGACUGAGCGGCGGACGGGUGAGUAACGCGUGGGUAACCUGCCUCAUACAGGGGGAUAACAGUUAGAAAUGACUGCUAAUACCGCAUAAGACCACAGCACCGCAUGGUGCAGGGGUAAAAACUCCGGUGGUAUGAGAUGGACCCGCGUCUGAUUAGCUAGUUGGUAAGGUAACGGCUUACCAAGGCGACGAUCAGUAGCCGACCUGAGAGGGUGACCGGCCACAUUGGGACUGAGACACGGCCCAAACUCCUACGGGAGGCAGCAGUGGGGAAUAUUGCACAAUGGGGGAAACCCUGAUGCAGCGACGCCGCGUGAGCGAAGAAGUAUUUCGGUAUGUAAAGCUCUAUCAGCAGGGAAGAAACUGACGGUACCUGACUAAGAAGCACCGGCUAAAUACGUGCCAGCAGCCGCGGUAAUACGUAUGGUGCAAGCGUUAUCCGGAUUUACUGGGUGUAAAGGGAGCGUAGACGGAUAGGCAAGUCUGGAGUGAAAGCCCGGGGCUCAACCCCGGGACUGCUUUGGAAACUGUUUAUCUAGAGUGCUGGAGAGGUAAGUG